UACGUAGGGCGCAAGCGUUGUCCGGAAUUAUUGGGCGUAAAGAGCUCGUAGGCGGUCUGUUACGUCCGCUGUGAAAACCCAGGGCUUAACCCUGGGCUUGCAGUGGAUACGGGUAGACUAGAGGCAGGUAGGGGAGAAUGGAAUUCCCGGUGUAGCGGUGAAAUGCGCAGAUAUCGGGAGGAACACCGGUGGCGAAGGCGGUUCUCUGGGACGGUACUGACGCUGAGGAGCGAAAGCAUGGGGAGCGAACAGG
rnacentral:rRNA from 1 species